UGGGGGAUAUUGCACAAUGGGGGGAACCCUGAUGCAGCGACGCCGCGUGGGUGAAGGAGUACUUCGGUACGUAAAGCCCUAUCAGCAGGGAAGAAAAAGACGGUACCUGACUAAGAAGCCCCGGCUAACUACGUGCCAGCAGCCGCGGUAAUACGUAGGGGGCAAGCGUUAUCCGGAUUCACUGGGUGUAAAGGGAGCGUAGACGGCAGGGCAAGUCUGGAGUGAAAGCCCGGGGCCCAACCCCGGGACUGCUCUGGAAACUGUACUGCUAGAGUGCGGGAGGGGCAGGCGGAAUUCCUAGUGUAGCGGUGAAAUGCGUAGAUAUUAGGAGGAACACCGGCGGCGAAGGCGGCCUGCUGGACCGUAACUGACGUUGAGGCUCGAAAGCGUGGGGAGCAAACAGG
rnacentral:rRNA from 1 species